ensembl:lncRNA
UUCAUGGCUAAUAAUGUUUUCUUAUAACGAGACGUUUGUGUUAUUUUUCUGCAGUUGUCACUGCGAUAGGUACGUGUCAGCGGAGGAGCUGUGUAACUCUUCAUGUGUGUCCACACUGCCGGUGCUCUCUGCCAGACUGGAUACAGACGGACAGCUACUGUUGAGAAUCAAAGCCGCAGAUGAAAGCAAAACCUGGAGCAGGGUGGGAUCAGGAUCUGUUAAAAAGACGCUUCAUUAUUAUCUAUCAGUUAUUAUACUGUGCUUAUUGAUGUGAACUCAUGCUAAAAAUAACAUUGUUUCAUUUUUCUCUUAGGAUAUGAUAAAUAUACUAGGACCUGAUGUUCAUGUCAAGAACAUAGGAAGGAUCCACUUCGUCCAGUUCGCUCCUGAGGGAGUGUUUGGUUGGAUUUUAAAAGACCCCUUGCUCGUUGAUUCUUUAGUAAGAGAACCUGUUGAAAUUCUGAAGAGUGAUUUCAGGAAGAAACGACAUGCUGAUCAGAAUGAGGUUUCCGAGCCUCUUCCACGGAUCCCAAAUCCCAUCGCAUGUCUGUCCCCAAAUGAUAUGCUCAUCUUUCAGCUCACCAUCAACCACACCGGUAUGGCUUUGUCAAAUACAGCACUAAUAAUAAAAGAUGCCUAGUGUAUGGUAUGCAUGUGUCAUGUCAUUCUGUGAUUUUAGACCGCCACUACAGUCACAUCCCAGUGUACCAGAAGGAUCACCUGUUCAGCAGUAACCCUGGCUGGGAUUUUGGGGCAUUUAGACGUCUGCAGCAUCUUGUCAAACACACACAGCUAAAUUCCAGCAGAUUUGCGCAUGUGUUCAUGGAGCCGGGAAAGUAUGUGUUCCUGGAUAACGCAGUGCCCGACUGGACUCUGAUAGUGGUUGUGAGUGAACAGGGCUCCGAGUGUAACCCCACAAUGGCUGCCUUCCAGCCGACGACUCCUGCACAGCUUGUGCGACACGGGAUUGUUAAACAACACAGCUUAAACCUGCUUCCAGACUGGGGGCUCAUCAUAGGGAUCUUGUCUCUGUUGGUGUUGCUGAUAAUAGUGUUGACAGCCUCUGCUCUUGUCUUGAGACCAAAUCGGUCCAACCUCAUCGCUCAAGGGAGGCCAAAGCCCAAGUGGCGCAGCUUGGGUGAACCCAGUGUUCCUAUUGAAUAUGUUUAUAAUACAGAAAGGUAA